GAUGAACGCUGGCGGCGUGCUUAACACAUGCAAGUCGAACGGAAAGGCCCAAGCUUGCUUGGGUGCUCGAGUGGCGAACGGGUGAGUAACACGUGGGUGAUCUGCCCUGCACUUUGGGUUAAGCCUGGGAAACUGGGUCUAAUACCGGAUAGGACCAUCGUUUAGUGUCGGUGGUGGAAAGUUUUUCGGUGUGGGAUGAGCUCGCGGCCUAUCAGCUUGUUGGUGGGGUAAUGGCCUACCAAGGCGUCGACGGGUAGCCGGCCUGAGAGGGUGUACGGCCACAUUGGGACUGAGAUACGGCCCAGACUCCUACGGGAGGCAGCAGUGGGGAAUAUUGCACAAUGGGCGCAAGCCUGAUGCAGCGACGCCGCGUGGGGGAUGACGGCCUUCGGGUUGUAAACGCCUUUCGCCAAGGACGAAGCGUUUUGUGACGGUACUUGGAGAAGAAGCACCGGCUAACUACGUG
rnacentral:rRNA from 1 species